rnacentral:rRNA from 1 species
GAUGAACGCUGGCGGCGUGCCUAAUACAUGCAAGUCGAGCGAACGGACGAGAAGCUUGCUUCUCUGAUGUUAGCGGCGGACGGGUGAGUAACACGUGGAUAACCUACCUAUAAGACUGGGAUAACUUCGGGAAACCGGAGCUAAUACCGGAUAAUAUUUUGAACCGCAUGGUUCAAAAGUGAAAGACGGUCUUGCAGUCACUUAUAGAUGGAUCCGCGCUGCAUUAGCUAGUUGGUAAGGUAACGGCUUACCAAGGCAACGAUGCAUAGCCGACCUGAGAGGGUGAUCGGCCACACUGGAACUGAGACACGGUCCAGACUCCUACGGGAGGCAGCAGUAGGGAAUCUUCCGCAAUGGGCGAAAGCCUGACGGAGCAACGCCGCGUGAGUGAUGAAGGUCUUCGGAUCGUAAAACUCUGUUAUUAGGGAAGAACAUAUGUGUAAGUAACUGUGCACAUCUUGACGGUACCUAAUCAGAAAGCCACGGCUAACUACGUG